rnacentral:tRNA from 1 species
UCGCCGUGGCCGGUUGGCGAUGGCGGGUGAGCGCGGUGCUCGCGGUGCUGUCGGCCAUGGCGGCGCUGGCCUGGAUCGGGACCGGGGCGUUGGU